GAUGAAGAACGCAGCGAAAUGCGAUAAGUAAUGUGAAUUGCAGAAUUCAGUGAAUCAUCGAAUCUUUGAACGCACAUUGCGCCCGCUGGUAUUCCGGCGGGCAUGCCUGUUCGAGCGUCAUUUCAACCCUCAAGCCCCCCGGGUUUGGUGUUGGGGAUCGGCUCUGCCUCACGGCGGUGCCGCCCCCGAAAUACAUUGGCGGUCUCGCUGCAGCCUCCAUUGCGUAGUAGCUAACACCUCGCAACUGGAACGCGGCGCGGCCAUGCCGUAAAACCCCAACUUCUGAAUGUUGACCUCGGAUCAGGUAGGAAUACCCGCUGAACUUAAGCAUAUCAAUAAGCGGAGGA
rnacentral:misc_RNA from 1 species